GAGGACCAAAUACCGUCCACGCCCAGUCGUACUUAUAACCACAUCAGUUCUCCAAGGGGAACGGCCUCUAGUCGAGGGAACAAUGUAGGAAAGGGAAGUCGGCAAAAUGGAUCCGUAACUUCUGGAUAAGGAUUGGCACUGAGGGCUGGGCAUAGGGGUCCCAGUCUCGAAACUCAUCGGUUGUUGGUGGACUACUCAAGUUGCACCCGCAGUGAGAGUGGGUCGCGGUGUGCCAGUCGGGGGACGGACUGGGAACGGUUCCUUCGGGGGCCUACCCCGCGCGUUGAACAGCCUACUCAGAACUCGUACGGACAAGGGGAAUCCGACUUUUUAAUUAAAACAAAGCAUUGCGAUGGUCCCAAUGGAUUUUCACACACUGUGAUUUCUGCCCAGUGCUCUGAAUGUCAAAGUGAAGAAAUUCAACCAAGCGCGGGUAAACGGCGGGAGUAACUAUGACUCUCUUAAGGUAGACAAAUGCCUCAUCAUCUAAUUAUGGAUUAACGAGAUUCCCACUAUCCCUGUCUACUAUCCAGCUAAACCACAACCAAGGGAACGGGCUUGGCAGAAUCAGCAGGGAAAGAAGACCCUCUUGAGCUUGACUCUACUCUGACUUUGUCAAAUGACUUGAGAGAUGCAGUAUAAGUGGGACUCGAAAGGUAAAAGUAAAAAUACCACUACUUUAACGUUAUUUUACUUAUUCUGUGAAUGGGAAGCGGGGCACUGCCUCUCUUUUUGGACCCAAGGCAAGCUCUGCAGGCCGAUCUAGGUGGAAGACAUUGUCAGGUGGGGAGUUUGGCUAGGGCUUCACAUCUGUUAAAAGAUAACGCAGGUGUUCUAAGAUGAGCUCAACAUGAACAAAAAUAUCGUGUGAAAUAGAAGGGAAAAAGCUUGUUUGAUUCUGAUUUCCAGUACGAAUACAAACCAUGAAAACGUGGAAUAACGAUCCUUUAGACCUUCGAAAUUCGAAGCUAGAGGUGUUAGAAAAGUGUUACCAUAGGGAUAACUAGCCUGUUGCAGCCAAGUAUUCAUAGCGACGUUGCUUUUCAUCCUUCGAUGUCGGCUCUUCCUAUCAUUGUGAAGCAGAAUUCACCAAGUGUUGGACUGUUCACCCAUCAAUAGGGACCGUGAGCUGGGUUUACACCGUCAUGAGACAGGUUAGUUUUUCCCUACUUAUGACAGUGUCGAAGUAGUAAUUCAACCUAGUA
rnacentral:rRNA from 1 species